AACGAACGCUGGCGGCAUGCCUAACACAUGCAAGGCGAACGAUGCUUUCGGGCAUAGUGGCGCACGGGUGCGUAACGCGUGGGAAUCUGCCCUUGGGUUCGGGAUAACCGUUGGAAGCGACGGCUAAUACCGGAUGAUGACGUAAGUCCAAAGAUUUAUCGCCCAGGGAUGAGCCCGCGUCCGAUUAGGUAGUUGGUGGGGUAAAGGCCUACCUAGCCGACGAUCGGUAGCUGGUCUGAGAGGAUGAUCAGCCACACGGGGACUGAGACACGGCCCAGACUCAUACGGGAGGCAGCAGUGGGGAAUAUUGGACAAUGGGCGAAAGCCUGAUCCAGCAAUGCCGCGUGGGUGAUGAAGGCCUUAGGGUUGUAAAGCUCUUUUACCCGGGAUGAUAGUGACAGUACCGGGAGAAUAAGCCCCGGCUAACUCCGUGCCAGCAGCCGCGGUAA
rnacentral:rRNA from 1 species